rnacentral:sRNA from 1 species
GUUUUAAAAUUAUAGUAUGAAUACUUUUAUGUAUUUUUUAGGAAGCCAAGUUGUCUGAAACAAUUUCAGCUUCCAAUGCCUGGAAAAGUCAUUAUGAGAAAAUUGUAAUAGAAAAAACUGAAUUGGAAGUACAGAUUGAAACAAUGAAAAAGCAAAUCGUUAAUCUUUUGGACGAUCUGAAGAAAAUGGAAGACCAUGGAAAAAAUUCAUGUGAAGAAAUUCUUAGAAAAGUUCACUCAAUUGAAUAUGAAAAUGAAAUUCUGAAUCUUGAGAAUACAAAAUUAAAGACUACACUUGCUGCUUUGAAGGAUGAAGUUGUAUCUGUUGAAAAUGAACUCUUAGAAUUGCAAGAAGUAGAAAAAAAACAGAAAACCCUUAUUGAAAUGUAUAAA